rnacentral:misc_RNA from 1 species
GAUGAAGAACGUAGCGAAAUGCGAUAAGUAAUGCGAAUUGCAGAAUUUCCGUGAAUCAUCAAAUCUUUGAACGCACAUUGCGCCCGCUAGUAUUCUGGCGGGCAUGCCUGUUCGAGCGUCAUUUCAACCAUCAAGCCCUGUUUAGGCUUGUGUUGGGGCCCUGCGGCUGCCGCAGCCCCCUAAAUGCAGUGGCGGGCUCGUUGUCACUCCGAGCGCAGUAGCGUAUCUCGCUCUGGGCGUGGCGGCGGGUGCUAGCCGUGAAACACCCACUAAGGUUGACCUCGGAUCAGGUAGGAAUACCCGCUGAACUUAAGCAUAUCAAUAAGCGGAGGA